GAUGAACGCUGGCGGCGUGCCUAAUACAUGCAGGUCGAACGAAGCCUUCGGGCUUAGUGGCGAACGGGUGAGUAACACGUUGGUACCUACCCUCUAGUGGGGAAUAACUGGCCGAAAGGUCGGCUAAUACCGCAUAAUACCGCAAGGUUAAAGCAGCAAUGCGCUAGAGGAGGGGCCUGCGUCCCAUUAGCUUGUUGGUAGCGUAAUGGACUACCAAGGCGACGAUGGGUAGCUGGAUCGAGAGGUUGACCAGCCACACUGGGACUGAGAUACGGCCCAGACUCCUACGGGAGGCAGCAGUAAGGAAUCUUCCACAAUGGACGAAAGUCUGAUGGAGCAACGCCGCGUGCAGGAUGACGGCCUUCGGGUUGUAAACUGCUUUUAUAUGGGAAGAUUAUGACGGUACCAUAUGAAUAAGGACCGGCUAACUACGUGCCAGCCGCCGCGGUAA
rnacentral:rRNA from 1 species